rnacentral:tRNA from 1 species
GAGGAUAUAUCUCAGUGGUAGAGUGUGUGCUUAGCAUGCACGAGGUCCUGGGUUCAAUCCCCAGUACCUCCA